GUAUGUUAAAAAUUGAUGCUUUUGUUAUUGUAGUCACCUGUUCUGAGUUUCAUUCAUUUAUUUAAAAAGUGUUAAAUGUUAUGUGUUAGGUACUAUUCUAGGUACUGGGGAUACAGUGCUAAAAAAAGGUGAAACCUGCUCUCAUGAAGCUUAUAUUAAGAGGGGAGACAGAUAGUCAAGUAAAAAAAAUGUAUGUAAUGUAAUAUCAGGAAAUAAUAAAUGCUAUUAAAGUUCAGGAGUUAAAAGGAUAGUGAUGGGAUGUUAUGGUAAUUCUCUCUGAUAAGGUGGCAUUUGAGUAGAGCCAUGAAUAAUACGAAGGAGCAAGUUAUAUGAAUAUCUAAGGAGAGAACAUUCUAGAAAGAAAGAGUAGCAAAUACAGACACCCCAAGGCUGGAUUAUGUUUGGUAUGUUUGAAGGUCAGCCAGG